rnacentral:tRNA from 1 species
UGGGCCCAUAGCUCAGCUGGUUAGAGCACCUGACUCAUAAUCAGGGAGUCCUAGGUUCAAAUCCUAGUGGGCCCAU